GAUGAACGCUGGCGGCGUGCCUAACACAUGCAAGUCGAGCGAACAGACGGGGAUUUUUCUCCUCUGACGUUGGCGGCGGACGGGUGAGUCACACGUGGUUAACCUACCUAUAAGACUGGGAUAACUGCGGGAAACCGUAUCUACGACCGGAUAAUAUAUUGAACCGUAUGGUUCAAUAGUGAAAGACGGUUUUGCUGUCACUAAUAGAUGGAUCCGCGCCGCAUUAGCUAGUUGGUAAGGUAACGGCUUACCAAGGCAACGAUGGGUAGCCGACCUGAGAGGAUGAUCGGCCACACUGGAACUGAGACACGGUCCAGACUCCUACGGGAGGCAGCAGUAGGGAAUCUUGCGCAAUGGGCGAAAGCCUGACGGAGCAACGCCGCGUGAGUGAUGAAGGUCUUCGGAUCGUAAAACUCUGUUAUUAGGGAAGAACAAAUGUGUAAGUAACUAUGCACGUCUUGACGGUACCGGAUCAGAAAGCCCCGGCUAACUACGUG
rnacentral:rRNA from 1 species